GUGGGGAAUAUUGGACAAUGGGCGAAAGCCUGAUCCAGCCAUGCCGCGUGUGUGAAGAAGGUCUUCGGAUUGUAAAGCACUUUAAGUUGGGAGGAAGGGCAGUAAGUUAAUACCUUGCUGUUUUGACGUUAUCGACAGAAUAAGCACCGGCUAACUUCGUGCCAGCAGCCGCGGUAAGACGAAGGGUGCAAGCGUUAAUCGGAAUUACUGGGCGUAAAGCGCGCGUAGGUGGUUUUGUAAGUUGGAGGUGAAAUCCCCGGGCUCAACCUGGGAACUGACUCCAAAACUGCAUGACUAGAGUACGGUAGAGGGUGGUGGAAUUUCCUGUGUAGCGGUGAAAUGCGUAGAUAUAGGAAGGAAAACCAGUGGCGAAGGCGACUACCUGGACUGAUACUGACUCUGGGGUGCGAAAGCGUGGGGAGCAAACAGGAUUAGAUACCCGUGUAGUCC
rnacentral:rRNA from 1 species